rnacentral:rRNA from 1 species
GACGAACGCUGGCGGCGUGCUUAACACAUGCAAGUCGAACGGAAAGGCCCUGCUUUUGUGUGGUGCUCGAGUGGCGAACGGGUGAGUAACACGUGAGUAACCUGCCCUUGACUUUGGGAUAACUUCAGGAAACUGGGGCUAAUACCGGAUAGGAGCUCCUGCUGCAUGGUGGGGGUUGGAAAGUUUCGGCGGUUGGGGAUGGACUCGCGGCUUAUCAGCUUGUUGGUGGGGUAGUGGCUUACCCAGGCUUUGACGGGUAGCCGGCCUGAGAGGGUGACCGGCCACAUUGGGACUGAGGUACGGACCAGACUCGUACGGGAGGCAGCAGUGGGGAAUAUUGCACAAUGGGCGGAAGCCUGAUGAAGAAACGCCGCGUGCGGGAUGACGGCCUUCGGGUUGUAAACCGCUUUAGCCUGUGACGAAGCGUGAGUGACGGUAAUGGGUAAAGAAGCACCGGCUAACUACGUG